UGGCAAAGUCUGAUUGUGCUUAUCUUGGC
rnacentral:piRNA from 1 species